CCACCGCCCGUCACACCAUGGGAGUGGGUUUCACCAGAAGCAGUUAGCCUAACCGCAAGGAGGGCGAUUGCCACGUGAGAUUCAUGACUGGGGUG
rnacentral:rRNA from 1 species